UACGGAGGGUGCGAGCGUUGUCCGGAAUCACUGGGCGUAAAGAGCGUGUAGGCGGCUCGGUAAGUCCGCUGUGAAAGUCCAGGGCUCAACCCUGGAAUGCCGGUGGAAACUGUCGAGCUAGAGUCCGGAAGAGGCGAGUGGAAUUCCUGGUGUAGCGGUGAAAUGCGCAGAUAUCAGGAGGAACACCAAUGGCGAAGGCAGCUCGCUGGGACGGUACUGACGCUGAGGAGCGAAAGCGUGGGGAGCGAACAGG
rnacentral:rRNA from 1 species